rnacentral:rRNA from 1 species
AUUGAACGCUGGCGGCAGGCCUAACACAUGCAAGUCGAACGGUAACAGGAAGAAGCUUGCUUCUUUGCUGACGAGUGGCGGACGGGUGAGUAAUGUCUGGGAAACUGCCUGAUGGAGGGGGAUAACUACUGGAAACGGUAGCUAAUACCGCAUAACGUCGCAAGACCAAAGAGGGGGACCUUCGGGCCUCUUGCCAUCGGAUGUGCCCAGAUGGGAUUAGCUAGUAGGUGGGGUAACGGCUCACCUAGGCGACGAUCCCUAGCUGGUCUGAGAGGAUGACCAGCCACACUGGAACUGAGACACGGUCCAGACUCCUACGGGAGGCAGCAGUGGGGAAUAUUGCACAAUGGGCGCAAGCCUGAUGCAGCCAUGCCGCGUGUAUGAAGAAGGCCUUCGGGUUGUAAAGUACUUUCAGCGGGGAGAAAGGGAGUAAAGUUAAUACCUUUGCUCAUUGACGUUACCCGCAGAAGAAGCACCGGCUAACUCCGUG